rnacentral:rRNA from 1 species
UACGGAGGGUGCAAGCGUUAUCCGGAUUCACUGGGUUUAAAGGGUGCGUAGGCGGACAGGUAAGUCAGUGGUGAAAUCUCUGGGCUUAACUCAGAAACUGCCGUUGAUACUAUUUGUCUUGAAUAUCUUGGAGGUAAGCGGAAUAUGCCAUGUAGCGGUGAAAUGCUUAGAUAUGACAUAGAACACCGAUAGCGAAGGCAGCUUACUACAGGAAGAUUGACGCUGAGGCACGAAAGCGUGGGGAGCAAACAGG